rnacentral:tRNA from 1 species
GCUGAAGUGGCAGAGCGUGAUGCAUCAGGUUUAAGAGUUGAGGACGGGAGUAACCUCCCCUUUGGUA